rnacentral:rRNA from 1 species
AUGAAGUUUUCGAAUGGAUUUAAAACAGCUUAGUGGCGGACGGGUGAGUAACGCGUGGGUAACCUGCCUCAUACAGGGGGAUAACAGUUGGAAACGACUGCUAAUACCGCAUAAGCCCACGGCUCGGCAUCGAGCAGGGGGAAAAGGAGCAAUCCGCUUUGAGAUGGCCUCGCGUCCGAUUAGCUAGUUGGUGAGGUAACGGCCCACCAAGGCGACGAUCCAUAGCCGGCCUGAGAGGGUGGCCGGCCACACUGGGACUGAGACACGGCCCAGACUCC